CUCUCACUGUUUCUGUGUCUCUGCUGUGGAGUCCCGCAGGGGUGUAUGUUGGUCCCUCCCCUUUAGCAGAUGGUAAACUGCACCAGGCCGCUUAACACAUAGCACACAGUUCACCAGCAAGGCAGCUCCGUGGAGAAUGCGGUCUAUACUGGGCGAUAAUGGUGACGGUUUGCCCGGCCCUCUUCAACGCAGCUGCAGCUUGCUCAUGAGUGGCAUUCCGCAGAUUCACACCAUUCACCUGACACAACAGAAAUGAUGUUUAAAAAGUUUUAAACUCGCCGCUCAAGUCAGCUGGUCCACCUGCCAAGAUGAACGAUACAAAGAUUCCUUCUCCAUCCUCCCCACCCACAAUAUUGAAGCCCAGUCCUGUGGAGCCUUUGUGCAGCAGAACCUUCCGUGGCUCCCUGCCAAACAGAGGGAAAAAACUUCAGGACAUGGAGCAUUGCUCAUAUCAACCAACAGCAGAUGGGGACACCAGUAAAGCAGAAAGACAGAUAGGUGGCUCCUGUGACUCAUCUGCAAGCAAAGAAACAUUCCAGCUUGCUCUGGCAUCCUGAGUCUCAGCCACACUGAGGCACCAUCAUAAACCUCUUCCAAAAUUCACAAGGCAGGAUCCUGAGACAUAUUUUUAACAACUAUGUACCAAAACACAUCAAAACUCUGCCUGCCCUGUUGUAUUGUUCAUGUUUUCAAUUAAAGUACCUUCAUUAAAGUAGGGUUUAAUACUUGGG